rnacentral:snRNA from 1 species
UACCGGUUCUGACCUUCA